rnacentral:rRNA from 1 species
CCUACGGGAGGCAGCAGUGAGGAAUAUUGCGCAAUGGAGGAAACUCUGACGCAGCAACGCCGCGUGGGGGAUGAAGUUCUAUGGAGCGUAAACCCCUGUAAGCAGGGACGAAAGUUAUGUAUUCGAAUAGGGUACAUAUUUGACGGUACCUGCAGAGUAAGCUCCGGCUAACUCCGUGCCAGCAGCCGCGGUAAUACGGGGGGAGCAAGCGUUGUCCGGAAUUACUGGGCGUAAAGGGCGUGUAGGCGGUUUGAUAAGUCAGAUGUAAAAGCCCCCGGCUUAACCGGGGAUAGUCAUUUGAAACUGUCAGGCUUGAGUGCGAGAGAGGGUAGUGGAAUUCCCAGUGUAGCGGUGAAAUGCGUAGAUAUUGGGAAGAACACCAGUAGCGAAGGCGGCUACCUGGCUCGCAACUGACGCUAAGGCGCGAAAGCGUGGGGAGCAAACAGGAUUAGAUACCCUGGUAGUCCACGCUGUAAACGAUGAACACUAGGUGUUGGUUUGCCGCAGGCUGAUCAGUGCCGCAGUUAACGCAUUAAGUGUUCCGCCUGGGGAGUACGAUCGCAAGGUUGAAACUCAAAGGAAUUGACGG